GCGAAGGUGGCGGAAUUGGCAGACGCGCUAGCUUCAGGUGUUAGUGUCCUUACGGACGUGGGGGUUCAAGUCCCCCCCCUCGCACCA
rnacentral:tRNA from 4 species